ensembl:misc_RNA 7SK 7SK RNA
GAAUGUGAGGGCAGUCUGGCUGCAGCAUGUCACCCCAUUGAUUACCAAGGUUGAUUUGGCUGAUCUGGCUGACUAGGCAGUGUCCCCUUCCUCCCUCGUGGCUCCACAUGCAUCCCUUCCGAAGCUGCAAGCUCACUCAAAGACUCCCCAAUAGAGGAGAAUCAUUCUUUAGUCAAGGGUAUAUGAGUAGCUGUGCUCCCCCGCUAGAACCUAUUAAAAAAAAAGUCUUGUAAAUUUAGCAAAGCUAGGAAAGUGAAUAAUUGCUUCUUGACUAAAAGAAUAAAUGAAUCCGUGACUUUUCUUACUAU